ACUCAAAUGAAUUGACGGGGGCCCGCACAAGCGGUGGAGCAUGUGGUUUAAUUCGAUGCAACGCGAAGAACCUUACCAAGGCUUGACAUCCCUGGAACCCUGUGGAAACACGGGGGUGCCUUCGGGAGCCAGGAGACAGGUGGUGCAUGGCUGUCGUCAGCUCGUGUCGUGAGAUGUUGGGUUAAGUCCCGCAACGAGCGCAACCCUCGUCGUUAGUUGCCAACAGGUUAUGCUGGGCACCCUAGCGAGACUGCCGGUGACAAACCGGAGGAAGGUGGGGAUGACGUCAAGUCAUCAUGCCCCUUAUGCCUUGGGCUACACACGUGCUACAAUGGUCGGGACAGAGGGCUGCAAUACCGCGAGGUGGAGCGAAUCCCAGAAACCCGGCCCCAGUUCAGAUUGCAGGCUGCAACUCGCCUGCAUGAAGUCGGAAUCGCUAGUAACCGCAGAUCAGCACGCUGCGGUGAAUACGUUCCCGGGCCUUGUACACACCGCCCGU
rnacentral:rRNA from 1 species